CAAGAGGUUAACCAGCAGCACACUUCUCUUCUGGGUGUCCGUCCAUUCGGUAAGUUCAUUCGGUAAAAAGUCAAACAUACGAAUAGGGGUAUACGGACAGGCAAUUCCACGAAAGGAAGGCAAACUAGACGAACCAGCAAUAAUAGUUAUACAGAUGGGUCUGUCACAGAUGGCAUAGCCUUUCGAGACUUUUGAUGCGCGAACGGAGACCGACCACAGGGCCAAGAUUCAUGGAACUAUUUUCGGCUACUUUUCCCAU